ACAACUCUAAGUAUGUUCGAUCAUAGUCAUGUUAUAGGUGUAAAUCAUCUUUACCCUUUUCACUUCUCCUAGUAGAAAAAAGUUAUCAAGUUUAUGCACAUGUUAUGUCAUGGGCUCCUUUCCAUACACGCCAUAUGACCCCUUGGUCGCGCCCCAUGGCGACCUAGCAAGCUUCACAAUGCCUAGCGCCAUGGACGGCCCCGUGGUCUUGGCUGCGCCAAGUGACAAGCGCCCAUGCGCCUCUGUCGCCCCAUCGAUGCAUCACGC
rnacentral:lncRNA from 1 species